rnacentral:rRNA from 1 species
GACGAACCGUGCAAACGUUGUUCGGAAUCACUGGGCUUAAAGGGCGCGUAGGCGGGCCAGACAGUCUGUGGUGAAAGCCUCCAGCUCAACUGGAGAAGUGCCGUGGAUACUGCUGGUCUCGAGGAGGGUAGGGGCAUCUGGAACAGUAGGUGGAGCGGUGAAAUGCGUUGAUAUCUACUGGAACUCCGAAUGGCGAAGGCAAGGUGCUGGACCCUUUCUGACGCUGAGGCGCGAAAGCGUGGGGAGCAAACAGG